rfam:Myotis brandtii contig163025, whole genome shotgun sequence.
GUCUACAGCCAUACCACCCUGAACACGCUCGAUCUCGUCUGAUCUCGGGAGCUAAGCAGGGUUGGGCCUGGUUAGUACUAGGAUGGGAAAAUAGUUACUCAUAAGGAGUUAGUGGGAAUACAAUGGAGAAGAAA